AUGCUCUGAUUUCUCUUCAGAACAAAUAAGUCUUUUGCCUUUAACUAAAGAUUUCCAUGGAGUGAAAUAGUUGUGAGCCAGUAGCCAAAUUUUUUGAUGUCUUGCAUGUGCAGGGCU
rnacentral:snRNA from 1 species